rnacentral:rRNA from 1 species
AUUGAACGCUGGCGGCAGGCCUAACACAUGCAAGUCGAGCGAGAGGCGGACGGGUGAGUAAUGUCUGUGAAACUGCCUGAUGGAGGGGGAUAAAUACUGGAAACGGUAGCUAAUAUCGCAUACCAUCAGAUGUGCCCAGAUGGGAUUAUCUAGUAGGUGGGGUAACGGCUCACCUAGGCGAAGAUCCCUAGCUGGUCUGAGAGGAUGAACAGCCACACUGGAACUGAGACACGGUCCAGACUCCUACGGGAGGCAGCAGUGGGGAAUAUUGCACAAUGGGCGCAAGCCUGAUGCAGCCAUGCCGCGUGUGUGAAGAAGGCCUUCGGGUUGUAAAGCACUUUCAGCGGGGAGGCGUUACCCGCAGAAGAAGCACCGGCUAACUCCGUGCCAGCAGCCGCAGUAAUUC